UAGGGAAUCUUCCACAAUGGGCGCAAGCCCGAUGGAGCAACACCGCGUGAGUGAAGAAGGGUUUCGGCUCGUAAAGCUCUGUUGUUGGAGAAGAACGUGCGUGAGAGUAACUGUUCACGCAGUGACGGUAUCCAACCAGAAAGUCACGGCUAACUACGUGCC
rnacentral:rRNA from 1 species